AGAAAGUGUUGCUUGUCAUGAAAGUGAUGACGUUUCUGCUAAUGCUGAAGAGAAGGCGACGUCGGUACCAGCGGCAACCGCGACGAUGGUGGGUUCGGCCCGUGUUUGCAGCACGCAAGCAAGAAGGACUUUACUACAUAGCAAUGCGCCGUAUGCGUGGAGGCGACCACGCCUUCUUCAAGUUUUACCGUAUGACGCCUCAGAUGUUUGACACAUUGCUGACGUUUGUUGUAACAGACCUAACUUGUCAGAACUUCAUAAGAGAACCCUUGGAGCCGGCUGAACAGCUGGCAAUUGCAUUAAGGUACCCAGCAGAGCUGAGUUGGAGAAGAUAGCCCAGGGCCUUUCUAUGCGAUGGCAGUUCCCGAACUGCCUAGGUGCUGUGGACGGCAAACACGUUGCCAUUGUUAGCCCUCCUAACUCUGGCAGCGUCUACUUCAACUACAAGGGCACAUUGUCUGUGGUCCUAAUGGCUGUGGUCGACAGUGACUGCAAGUACACACUCAUUGAUGUGGGAGCCGAGGGUCGCCUCAGUUAUGGUGGCACAUUCAAAAACUCAGUUUGGACGUGCCCUCACUCAAGGAGACUUGGAUAUACCAUCACUGAGUUGGCUUCCUGGCUCUGCAACAAAUGCACCAUAUGCCUUCGUAGGCAACAAGGCUUUUCAGCUGAGAGAAGAUUUUCUUCGUCCUUAUCCAGCCAGGCAGCUUGAUGAUGAAAGACGGGUCUUCAACUAUAGGCUAAGCCGAGCAAGGCGCUGUGCAGAGAACGCAUUUGGGAUAACGGCGGCCAGAUGGAGAAUUCUGCUACGUGCCAUCCACUUGAAACCGAAGAGUGUGGACUUCGUUACAAAGGCUGCUUGUAUUCUGCACAAUUUUCUCAGUGUCCACAACCCACAGUCACACAAGUUCACCGAUACAGACGACAGCUUUGGUAACCUCGACGCAAGACAGUGGCGACAAGGUGUCCAACAAGCAUCAGGAAACAACUCGGAACCCCACUUCUUCCCGAUAAAGGCAACACAUUGCAGGAACUACCUCGGUGAUGCGGCAGCUGCCAGGAACCUUUUCGCAGCAUACUUUUGUAGCAGUGCUGGGGAGGUUCCUUGGCAAUGGAAUCUCCCUGGGGUGUCCAAAGAAGCAGUUGUCAAGUGGCUACGGGAGCAGACACAUCUAACAAUUCAGUGAUGUCUUUGGCUAGCAGCUCCCUGCUGACUUGGGGCAGCCGCUCCUUGUGCUGCUGACAUCAAGGCUGGUGCCGUAGACAACGUCGAAGCUGAUGUCGUAGAUGACGUCGAGGCUGACGAGACCUGUGACACUGACACCAAGCCUGACAGAUCAGAAAAAUCUGAUUGUGCAUCGAAGUCUUGGUCUUCGAACUGGGCAAUGCCCAUUAAAAUUUUUUCUGCACCAUUGUGCUGCUGGUU